rnacentral:rRNA from 1 species
ACUACGGGAGGCAGCAGUGAGGAAUAUUGGUCAAUGGCCGAGAGGCUGAACCAGCCAAGUCGCAUGAGGGAAGACGGCCCUACGGGUUGUAAACCUCUUUUGUCGGGGAGCAAAGCGAGUCACGUGUGACUCAUUGAGAGUACCCGAAGAAAAAGCAUCGGCUAACUCCGUGCCAGCAGCCGCGGUAAUACGGAGGAUGCGAGCGUUAUCCGGAUUUAUUGGGUUUAAAGGGUGCGCAGGCGGAGGUGCAAGUCAGCGGUCAAAGUGCGGGGCUCAACCCCGUACUGCCGUUGAAACUGCAACCCGUGAGUGCGCGAGAGGUAGGCGGAAUGCGUGGUGUAGCGGUGAAAUGCAUAGAUAUCACGCAGAACUCCGAUUGCGAAGGCAGCAUACCGGCGCGCAACUGACGCUCAUGCACGAAAGCGUGGGUAUCGAACAGGAUUAGAUACCCGGGUAGUC